rnacentral:lncRNA from 1 species
GUUUGAUCGAGAACAAUGGUAAAUAAAUAAUCACAAACUGUCUCACCAUAACCAAAAUUAUUUGACCUAAAGUAUGUAAGUGUGGAAUAAACAAUGAAAAUUCAAGUAUGUAAUCUUACACAUAUUUUUUUCAAUUCCUUAAAAGGCUACAAGAAUUGCUAUUUAUAAAGUCUGGGCCAACUUGGUUGUCAUUGAAUUAAAACCAUAUGGCUUCAUCCUAUUAACCAAAGCCUCACAUCACUUUCUGCCACAAAUUAAUUGCAUUGAAAAUGGGUCAGCCGACCUACAUUCUAUGUUGACAUUUUUGUCAUCCAUUAAUACAAACGUUACACCAAUCAUUCCUAUAGAUACCUUGCAAAUCCACUUUAAAGGCAACAUGUGAUUCAAUCUAGAGAGAGAACUUCGGUUGGGAAGGAAAAGUACUUUGGAUGAUAGAGGUUCUUCCAGAGAGAGUGCCUUGGCCAAAGGAGGAGUGCUUUGGUAAAACGGUUCGACUUUUUCCUUUUUCUUUAUUUUAACUUUGUUGACUGCCAUAUAUCUUGCACAUAUUGCCUCCACAUGGCUUUCAAUGGGAGCUUCGGAUAUGAGAAGUGUGCAAUG